rnacentral:rRNA from 1 species
GACGAACGCUGGCGGCGUGCUUAACACAUGCAAGUCGAGCGGUAAGGCCCUUUCGGGGGUACACGAGCGGCGAACGGGUGAGUAACACGUGGGUGACCUGCCCUCAGCUCUGGGGAUAAAGCCUGGGAAACCGGGUCUAAUACUGGAUAUGACUCCAUGACGCAUGUUGUGGGGUGGAAAGCCUUGUGCGGCUGAGGAUGGGCCCGCGGCCUAUCAGCUUGUUGGUGGGGUGANGGCCUACCAAGGCGACGACGGGUAGCCGGCCUGAGAGGCGA